rnacentral:rRNA from 1 species
GUUGAUGGCGAACGGCGCACGGGUGCGUAACACGUAUAGAACCUACCCAUAACAGGGGGAUAGCCCAGAGAAAUUUGGAUUAAUACCCCAUAGUGUAUUAAUGAGGCAUCUCAUUUUUAUUAAAGAUUUAUCGGUUAUGGAUGGCUAUGCGUCCUAUUAGUUUGUUGGUGAGGUAAUGGCUCACCAAGGCUACGAUAGGUAGGGGUUCUGAGAGGAAUGUCCCCCACACUGGUACUGAGACACGGACCAGACUCCUACGGGAGGCAGCAGUGAGGAAUAUUGGACAAUGGGCGCAAGCCUGAUCCAGCCAUGCCGCGUGCAGGAAGAAGGCUUUCUAGUUGUAAACUGCUUUUAUUCACGAGGAAUAUGUCCCUUGCGAGGGAUUUUGACGUUAGUGUUUGAAUAAGCACCGGCUAACUUCCGUGCCAGCAGCCGCGGUAAUACGGAGGGUGCAAGCGUUAUCCGGAAUCAU